ACGGGCGUAGCUCAAGUUGGAAGAGCAUCAGAAUAAAGUUCUGAAGGUCCGCGUUCGAUUCGCGGUGCCCCCC
rnacentral:tRNA from 1 species